UACGAAGGGAGCUAGCGUUGUUCGGAAUCACUGGGCGUAAAGCGCACGUAGGCGGAUUUGUCAGUCAGGGGUGAAAUCCCGGGGCUCAACCUCGGAACUGCCUUUGAUACAGCAAGUCUUGAGUUCGAGAGAGGUGGGAGGAAUUCCUAGUGUAGAGGUGAAAUUCGUAGAUAUUAGGAAGAACACCGGUGGCGAAGGCGGCCCACUGGCUCGAUACUGACGCUGAGGUGCGAAAGCGUGGGGAGCAAACAGG
rnacentral:rRNA from 1 species